CUUUUAUGAGGUGGUAAGAUUUUUCCGAUACAAAUGAGCCUCCUUGAGGAAGUUGAUCAUAUCAAACUGUGAUGAGUCACCACAGUGACUCUAAAUGAGGAGAAACUAAGUUCCCAGCAGUGAUGUUGGAUACUCAAUAGUCUCCAAAAGGAUAAAAAGUAAGCCUGGCGAAAUCUUUGUUUGGUACCUGCCUCCAGUCCAUUUGUGAAGGAGUGCUAAUGAAAAAUGAGAGUGAUGUUCCCAUCACACAUUUUUGGAUUACUGUGCAGCAACAUCAAUUGGAAACCUAAUGAAAUAGAGACCACCUAUGGAGGAGGGAGAUUGUGCUCCUCUGUCUGCCUGCAUCCAAUUUACCAAGCAACUGUGUGGAACAAGCUGCCUGUUUGUUGUGCCCCUGUCCAAUUGAUCAUACAUUUAACAUUGAUAAUUGGCAAUGCCAAUUGCCACUAUCUUUCUCCAGUGGAAGUAUGCUGCAGCGCUUUACCAUUGUGCAAUAAUAAAGGGAACAAUUUAUUUCUU